CUGGCGACCGGCGCACGGGUGAGUAACGCGUAUCCAACCUGCCGAUAACUCGGGGAUAGCCUUUCGAAAGAAAGAUUAAUACCCGAUGGCAUAAUUAGACCGCAUGGUUUGAUUAUUAAAGAAUUUCGGUUAUCGAUGGGGAUGCGUUCCAUUAGGCAGUUGGUGAGGUAACGGCUCACCAAACCUUCGAUGGAUAGGGGUUCUGAGAGGAAGGUCCCCCACAUUGGAACUGAGACACGGUCCAA
rnacentral:rRNA from 1 species